CCUACGGGAGGCAGCAGUGGGGGAUAUUGGACAAUGGGGGGGAACCCUGAUCCAGCGACGCCGCGUGAGUGAAGAAGUAUUUCGGUAUGUAAAGCUCUGUCAGCAGGGAAGAAAGCAAUGACGGUACCUGACCAAGAAGCCCCGGCUAACUACGUGCCAGCAGCCGCGGUAAUACGUAGGGGGCAAGCGUUAUCCGGAUUUACUGGGUGUAAAGGGAGCGUAGACGGCAGCGCAAGUCUGAAGUGAAAUCCCAUGGCUUAACCAUGGAACUGCUUUGGAAACUGUGCAGCUGGAGUGCAGGAGAGGUAAGCGGAAUUCCUAGUGUAGCGGUGAAAUGCGUAGAUAUUAGGAGGAACACCAGUGGCGAAGGCGGCUUACUGGACUGUAACUGACGUUGAGGCUCGAAAGCGUGGGGAGCAAACAGGAUUAGAUACCCCAGUAGUC
rnacentral:rRNA from 1 species